CUCCAGACUCCUACGGGAGGCAGCAGUGGGGAAUAUUGCACAAUGGGGGAAACCCUGAUGCAGCGACGCCGCGUGAGCGAUGAAGUAUUUCGGUAUGUAAAGCUCUAUCAGCAGGGAAGAAGAUGACGGUACCUGACUAAGAAGCCCCGGCUAACUACGUGCCAGCAGCCGCGGUAAUACGUAGGGGGCAAGCGUUAUCCGGAUUUACUGGGUGUAAAGGGAGCGUAGACGGCGAUGCAAGCCAGAUGUGAAAGCCCGGGGCUCAACCCCGGGACUGCAUUUGGAACUGUGUGGCUGGAGUGUCGGAGAGGCAGGCGGAAUUCCUAGUGUAGCGGUGAAAUGCGUAGAUAUUAGGAGGAACACCAGUGGCGAAGGCGGCCUGCUGGACGAUGACUGACGUUGAGGCUCGAAAGCGUGGGGAGCAAACAGGAUUAGAUACCCGGGUAA
rnacentral:rRNA from 1 species